rnacentral:rRNA from 1 species
GACGAACGCUGGCGGCGUGCUUAACACAUGCAAGUCGAACGCGCCUGUCCUCUGGGUUUCUGGGGGGUGGGUGAGUGGCGAACGGGUGAGUAACACGUGAGUAACCUGCCCCCUUCUUCGGGAUAACGGUCUGAAAGGGCUGCUAAUACCGGGUAUUCACUGGUCUCCGCAUGGGGUCUGGUGGAAAGGUUUUUUUCUGGUGGGGGAUGGGCUCGCGGCCUAUCAGCUUGUUGGUGGGGUGAUGGCGCACUAAGGGUUUGACGGGUAGCCGGACUGAGAGGGUGCCUGGUCACGUGGCGAGUGAGAUAGGGCCUAGACUACGACGGGAGGCCGUAGGGGGGGAUAUUGCGCAAUGGGCGGAAGCAUGAUGCGGCGACGCCGCGUGAGGGAUGGAGGCCUUGGGGUUGUGAAUCUCUUUGGACCGUGGUUAAGCCGCGACGUGGGUCGUGGUGAGGGUAGUGGGUAAAGAAGCGCCGGCUAACUACGUG